UACGAGAGGCCCAACCGUUAUUCGGAAUCACUGGGCUUACAGGGUGCGUAGGCGGUCUGUUAAGUAGGGUGUGAAAGCCCCCGGCUCAACCGGGGAAUUGCGCCCUAAACUGGCGGACUGGAGUGAGAUAGGGGUGUGCGGAACUUCCGGUGGAGCGGUGAAAUGUGUUGAUAUCGGAAGGAACGCCGGUGGCGAAAGCGGCACACUGGAUCUCAACUGACGCUGAGGCACGAAAGCCAGGGGAGCGAACGGG
rnacentral:rRNA from 1 species